rnacentral:misc_RNA from 1 species
UAACUGUCCAGAUAUGAAUCAUCCUGUUUAGAAGAGAAACAAUUAGCAAAUUUGCAUAAAUAAGGGUAAAAUUCAGCCCAGGAAAAAUAAAAUAAAAUAACCCAUAUCACAAUAAGAUUCAGUGUGCUCAGAAACCAGAAUGAUUAUCUUAGUAAUAUGUAAAUAGAUACCAAGUAACGUUUAGGUCAAUGCAAUAUUUCUCCAAGACUCAAAAAUUUUAUAAAUUUCUCGUGGAAUCUAUAACGCACCUAGCACAACAACUUCUAGCAAAUUUUCAACAGCCCAAAUUUCAUUUUCCUACAGUUUAAGAAUACCAAUAAUCUAUUAGAGCAGUAAUCAGCUAAUUUUUACCUAUUUCAUUUUCUCAAAGGUUUUUGUAUAUUGGACAGAGCAUUUACACUGCUAGCAUAAUACAAAAACUAGGAUCUCAAUUACAAAAACAACUAGAAAAUAUGCAUUUAUCUAGAUGGUAAUUAAAAAAAAUAAAAAAAAAAAUUCAAUCAGAAUGUAUCUAGUAAUGAGAGUUGCAUAAUGAUAUCAAUGGGCCUCACAGUUAACAGACUGAUUGAUGAGCCUCAAUCUCCUCCUGGAACAAAAUAAGUAGACUGAUACCAAGUGAAAUAAGUAAAUAGGAAGCCCUUUCACUUCAAAUUGUAAACCACAUUAAGAAAAAAAAAAAUUACGCUUUAUGCAACUACUAAACCGAAGAGGAUACAA